rnacentral:rRNA from 1 species
UACGAAGGGGGCUAGCGUUGCUCGGAAUCACUGGGCGUAAAGGGUGCGUAGGCGGGUCUUUAAGUCAGGGGUGAAAUCCUGGAGCUCAACUCCAGAACUGCCUUUGAUACUGAAGAUCUUGAGUUCGGGAGAGGUGAGUGGAACUGCGAGUGUAGAGGUGAAAUUCGUAGAUAUCGGGAGGAACACCAGUGGCGAAGGCGACUACCUGGCCUGUUCUUGACGCUGAGGCGCGAAAGCGUGGGGAGCAAACAGG